CAGCAGCCGCGGGAAUACAGAGGGUGCGAGCGUUAAUCGGAUUUAAUGGGCGUAAAGCGUGCGUAGGCGGCUUCUUAAGUCGGAUGUGAAAUCCCUGAGCUUAACUUAGGAAUUGCAUUCGAUACUGGGAAGCUAGAGUAUGGGAGAGGAUGGUAGAAUUCCAGGUGUAGCGGUGAAAUGCGUAGAGAUCUGGAGGAAUACCGAUGGCGAAGGCAGCCAUCUGGCCUAAUACUGACGCUGAGGUACGAAAGCAUGGGGAGCAAACAGGAUUAGAUACCCCAGUAGUCCCUGUCUCUUAUAA
rnacentral:rRNA from 1 species